GCGCUCCGCUCCGAAGCCCCUGCUUUAUUUCAGUUCAAUGGGGGUGGGGAGGGGGCUCACAGACACAAGGAUAAUAAACAAUGCUGCUUACUGAAGAUACAAAGUGGGUACAGAAAAGAACCAUGUAGAAAACCAAGAACGGAGACGUUUUUUUAACAAGUGGGUCAGACUCGGGGAUGCCUUUGAAAAAGACUUGUAACGUAAAACCAUUGGCGGUUCUCUAAAAGUACAGAAUUACAUGGAACAGGCGUUGUCAGAAUGUGCUGGUUGGAGCGGUAUUUAUUUAUUGGCUUUUGCCUCUGGAGACCAGCAGGAGCUGUUUAUACCUGCCUACUCCUUGGUGCAAAUCUUCUCCCUAUCUCAAGGUCUCAUUAAAAGGGUCUUCCAGGUUGACAAUAGGCCACUGGUAGGGUCUCCUAGGCUUAGCAGAGACACAGCCAUGGGAAGGCCGCUAGUCCUUCCUGCUAAAGCCUGCAGCAUGCACACAAGACUGUUUGGAGAAUCUGGUGGCCUCUAGGAAGGAAGGAGAUGAGAUGAAGAAGCCUGGGGAUUCAGCUGGUUCCAAGAAAUGUGUAAGUAGAGGAAAAUCGAGUUUCUUAAGACCAGCAAGGCUUCAGAGCCUGUCUCAAGGCUCUGAAGGACACCAGGACAAAGGAUACUGCGCCCUCUGGUGUUAGAUUCAUAUCGGAUUCCAGAGAGCUGUGUGGAGACCAGCAGCCAGGAGCUUCCUAAACCAACCACAGAAAAGUUUCUUUUGUUUGCUAAGCACCUUGGAGUGGAAUUUGACCUUCCUU
rnacentral:lncRNA from 1 species